rnacentral:lncRNA from 1 species
GCUCAUUAGUCCUCAGUCAUUGUAGACAGAAAUAUAAAAUUCACAUGGACAUAAUCAUGAAAGAAUAACGGGUUAAGAUUGUUCAUUUAUAUUCUUUUUCCCUCAUUUUUUCCUUUUACUGAAAAUAAAUUCUUCUCUCAUAAUAUAUCCUGAUUAUAGUUUCCCCUCCCUCCUCUCCUCCUUUCUCAUUAGGAAAGAACAGGCUUCUAAGAGAUAACAACCAAGCAUGCUAAAAUGAAAUAUAAGAUAAAACAGAAACUAUCAGGGCUGGACAAGACAAAUGAACAGAAGGAAAAGAACCCAAGAGAAGACAAAAGAAUCAAAGAUCCACUGUUUCACACUUUCAGGAGUCCCAUAAGAAUACUAGACUAAGAGAUAUUUUAUGUAUGUUAUGUUCACGUGAACAUGGACAUGUAUGUAUAGGCCCCGUGCACUCUGCUUCAGCUACUUCAUAAGUUUAUAUGAGCUUUGCUGGUUGACUUAGAGGGCUUGUUCUCCUGGUGUCUCUCCAUUCUCUUUGGAUCUAACACUCUUUCUGCCACCCUGAACUCUGAGGGGAGGGAUUUGAUGGUGACAUCCCAUUUGGAGCUAUGUGUUCCAAGACCUUUCUCUUUGUAAUGUCUGGCUGUGGGUCUCUGCAUGUGUCUUAUCUGCAGGAGGAAGAAUUUUCUCUGAUGACUGCCGAGCAAAGCACUGAUCUAUAAGUAUAGUAGAAUAUCCUUAAGAGUCAUUUUAUGAUACUGUUUUUUAGACCAGUGGUGUUUGUUUUGACCCAGGUCUCUGGGCUAUCUAAUCUCUGGUUCUUGGUCAUCCAAACAGGGUUGGGUAUGGGUUCCAUCUUGUGAAGUAGACCUUACACCAAAUCAGACAUUGGUUGGCUACUCCCACAAGUUCUAUGCCACCAGUGCUUAGUAUAUGUUGCAGGCAGGACGGGUUGUAUGUUAGAGGUUUGGGGGCUGAGGUGGUGUUUACAUUUCUCUUUUGGUAGCCUGAAGAGUACCUUUCUGAUCCAAAGGCACUAGAGCACAGGGUCAUGAAGGUUCUAUAUAGGCACCAGCUGGAUUUUCCAUGUUCAGUGAAUUGUGUGAGUGUUAUCUUUGGUAAUGAGACCUCACUGUCAAUUUGGAAAGAGAAACUCACUGUCUUAGCCGCAACCUGGGUUGUUUGAGGAUUUUCAUGGACCUUUAGACCAACAAUUCAAUUCAGUCCUGAAGCGUUGUUUAGUGACAAGAGAUAUCAUCCCUUAAAUGCCUCUCAAUUCUACCUGUCUUCUCCCCUUCUCUAUCUCCCCUCUCCUCCUCACCUGAUCCUCUUGUUCACAUCCCCACUUGCCCUCAGUCCCUUUGUAAAAUCUAUUCUAUUUCCCUCUCCCAGGGAGAUUCGAUUCAUGUGUUCUCCCUCUAGUCCUUCCUCUAUAGCUAACCUCUCUAGGUCUAUAGAUUGUAGGUUGGUUAUCAGUUAUUUAAUGGAUAAUUUCCAUGUAUAAGUGAAUACAUGCCAUAUUUAUCUUUCUAAGUCUGAGUUACCUUAGUCAGGAUAUUUUUUAGUUCCAUCCAUUUGCCUGAAAUUUUCAUAUUUUUUAAUAGCUGAAUAAUAAUCCAUUGUGAAAAUGUACCACAUUUUCUUUCUCAGUUUUUCUGUUGAGGGAUAUCUAGAUUGUUUCCAGUUUCUGACUAUUAUAUAUAAGAGAGUACUUAAGAACAUAGAUUCAAAAAUGCCCAAUAAAAUAUUUGCAAACAGAAUCCAAGAACACAUCAAAAAGAUCAUCUAUUAUGGUCAAGUAAACUUCAUCGAAGAGAUGCACGGAUAGUUUAAGAUACAGAAAUCAAUAAAUAUAAUCCACCAUAUAAACAAACUGAAAGAAAAAUUAUGAUCAUCUCUUAAUAUGCAGAAAAAGUCUUUGACAAAACCCAACAUCCCUUCAUGAUAAAAAUUCUGGGGAGAUCAGCGAUACAAAGGGCAUGCCUAAAC